GAUGAAGAACGUAGCGAAAUGCGAUAAGUAAUGUGAAUUGCAGAAUUCAGUGAAUCAUCGAAUCUUUGAACGCACAUUGCGCCCGACAGUAUUCUGGCGGGCAUGCCUGUCCGAGCGUCAUUUCAACCCUCGAACCCCUCCGGGGGGUCGGCGUUGGGGAUCGGCCCCUCACCGGGCCGCCCCCGAAAUCCAGUGGCGGUCUCGCCGCAGCCUCUCCUGCGCAGUAGUUUGCACACUCGCACCGGGAGCGCGGCGCGGCCACAGCCGUAAAACACCCCAAACUCUGAAAUGUUGACCUCGGAUCAGGUAGGAAUACCCGCUGAACUUAAGCAUAUCAAUAAGCGGAGGA
rnacentral:misc_RNA from 1 species